AUGCGCGUUAGGUGUAUCGGGUGAACCACGAGUUCACCGAGGUGCCGAAGGGGAAACCGUGAAACGUGCCGCCUGGGAAGUACGGUCGCAAGGCUGAAACUUAAAGGAAUUGGCGNGGGGAGCACCACAACAGGUGGAGCCUGCGGUUUAAUCGGACUCAACGCCGGGAAGCUCACCGGAUAAGACAGCUGAAUGAUAGCCGGGCUGAAGACUCUGCUUGACUAGCUGAGAGGAGGU
rnacentral:rRNA from 1 species